GACGAACGCUGGCGGCGUGCCUAAUACAUGCAAGUCGAGCGAAUGAUUGGGAGCUUGCUCCCAUGAUUUAGCGGCGGACGGGUGAGUAACACGUGGGCAACCUACCUGUAAGACUGGGAUAACUUCGGGAAACCGGAGCUAAUACCGGAUAAUUUCUUUUCUCGCAUGAGAAGAGAUGGAAAGACGGUUUCGGCUGUCACUUACAGAUGGGCCCGCGGCGCAUUAGCUAGUUGGUGAGGUAAUGGCUCACCAAGGCCACGAUGCGUAGCCGACCUGAGAGGGUGAUCGGCCACACUGGGACUGAGACACGGCCCAGACUCCUACGGGAGGCAGCAGUAGGGAAUCUUCCGCAAUGGACGAAAGUCUGACGGAGCAACGCCGCGUGAGCGAAGAAGGCCUUCGGGUCGUAAAGCUCUGUUGUUAGGGAAGAACAAGUACCAGAGUAACUGCUGGUACCUUGACGGUACCUAACCAGAAAGCCACGGCUAACUACGUGCCAGCAGCCGCCGUAACAC
rnacentral:rRNA from 1 species